rnacentral:lncRNA from 1 species
AAAAAACUGUAAUAUAUUGAUAUCAUGGAAUUUAAGUGAAUGUAUAACAAUUUAAAUGAGAUAACUAUAUAUUGUAACUCCUAGACUCAAGUGUCCACCUGCCUUGGCCCACCAAAGUGCCGGGAUUACAGGUGUGGAAGCCUGCAGGACGUGGACACUGCGGCACUGCUCCUGUCUCUUCCUGUCUGCCUUGAUCUUUGGCAGCCUGUUCUAAUUAGUCAAUCCAUAAAUGUGCAUCAAUAAAUGAAUGAAUUAAAUGGAUGGAGAACUACUGUUCUCUCACAAAGUAAUUGGCCUGUGCUCUC